CCUACGGGAGGCAGCAGUAGGGAAUAUUGCUCAAUGGGGGAAACCCUGAUGCAGCAACGCCGCGUGGAUGAUGAAGGCCUUCGGAUUGUAAACUCCUUUUGUCAGGGAAGAUAAUGACGGUAUUUAACGAAUUAUCACUUGCGAACUCCGUUCCAGCAACCGCGGUAAUACGGAGGGCGCACACGCUACUCGGUAUCACUGGGCGUAAAGUGCACGUAGGCGGGAUAGCAAGUCAGAUGUGAAAUCCUAGGGCUUAACCAUAGAACUGCAUUUGAAACUGUUAUUCUAGAGUGUGGGAGAGGAAGGUAGAAUUCUUGGUGUAGGGGUAAAAUGCGUAGAGAUCAAGAGGAAUACUCGUUGCGAAGGCGACCUGCUAGAACAUAACUGACGCUGAUGCGCGAAAGCGUGGGGAGCAAACAGGAUUAGAUACCCUUGUAGUC
rnacentral:rRNA from 1 species